rnacentral:rRNA from 1 species
UACGGGGGGGCAAGCGUUGUUCGGAAUUACUGGGCGUAAAGGGCUCGUAGGUGGCCAACUAAGUCAGACGUGAAAUCCCUCAGCUUAACUGGGGAACUGCGUCUGAUACUGGAUGGCUUGAGUUUGGGAGAGGGAUGCGGAAUUCCAGGUGUAGCGGUGAAAUGCGUAGAUAUCGUAAGGAAGACCAGUGGCGAAGGCGGGUCUCUGGACAGUUCCUGGACGCUGAGGCGCGAAAGCCAGGG